rnacentral:rRNA from 1 species
CAGGAUGCUUAUAGCGGCGAGUGAAGCGGCAAAAGCUCAAAUUUGAAAUCUGGCUCUUUCAGAGUCCGAGUUGUAAUUUGAAGAAGGUAUCUUUGGGUCUGGCACUUGUCUAUGUUUCUUGGAACAGAACGUCACAGAGGGUGAGAAUCCCGUGCGAUGAGAUGAUCCAGGCCUAUGUAAAGUUCCUUCGAAGAGUCGAGUUGUUUGGGAAUGCAGCUCUAAGUGGGUGGUAAAUUCCAUCUAAAGCUAAAUAUUGGCGAGAGACCGAUAGCGAACAAGUACAGUGAUGGAAAGAUGAAAAGAACUUUGAAAAGAGAGUGAAAAAGUACGUGAAAUUGUUGAAAGGGAAGGGCUUGAGAUCAGACUUGGUAUUUUGUAUGUUACUUCUUCGGG